GGGCCCGCACAAGCGGUGGAUUAUGUGGUUUAAUUCGAAGCAACGCGCAGAACCUUACCUAGGCUUGAAAUCCCACGAAUCCCUUUUAAACGAGGGAGUGCUCUUCGGAGAAUGUGGUGACAGGCGCUGCAUGGCUGUCGUCAGCUCGUGUCGUGAGAUGUUGGGUUAAGUCUCGCAACGAGCGCAACCCCCAUUUUUAGUUGCCAGCAUUAAGUUGGGCACUCUAGAAAGACCGCCUGGGCUAACCAGGAGGAAGGUGGGGAUGACGUCAAGUCCUCAUGGCCCUUAUGUCUAGGGCUACACACGUAAUACAAUGGUCGGUACAGAGGGAUGCGAACUCGCGAGGGGGAGCUAAUCUCAAAAAACCGAUCUCAGUCCGGAUUGGAGUCUGCAACUCGACUCCAUGAAGUUGGAAUCGCUAGUAAUCGCGGAUCAGCACGCCGCGGUGAAUACGUUCCCGGGCCUU
rnacentral:rRNA from 1 species